GAUGAACGCUGACAGAAUGCUUAACACAUGCAAGUCAACUUGAAUUUGGGUUUUUAACUUAGAUUUGGGUGGCGGACGGGUGAGUAACGCGUAAAGAACUUGCCUCACAGCUAGGGACAACAUUUAGAAAUGAAUGCUAAUACCUGAUAUUAUGGUUAUAGGGCAUCCUAUAAUUAUGAAAGCUAUAUGCACUGUGAGAGAGCUUUGCGUCCCAUUAGCUAGUUGGAGAGGUAACAGCUCACCAAGGCGAUGAUGGGUAGCCGGCCUGAGAGGGUGAACGGCCACAAGGGGACUGAGACACGGCCCUUACUCCUACGGGAGGCAGCAGUGGGGAAUAUUGGACAAUGGACCGAGAGUCUGAUCCAGCAAUUCUGUGUGCACGAUGAAGUUUUUCGGAAUGUAAAGUGCUUUCAGUUGGGAAGAAAAAAAUGACGGUACCAACAGAAGAAGUGACGGCUAAAUACGUGCCAGCAGCCGCGGUAAUACGUAUGUCACGAGCGUUAUCCGGAUUUAUUGGGCGUAAAGCGCGUCUAGGUGGUUAUGUAAGUCUGAUGUGAAAAUGCAGGGCUCAACUCUGUAUUGCGUUGGAAACUGUAUAACUAGAGUACUGGAGAGGUAAGCGGAACUACAAGUGUAGAGGUGAAAUUCGUAGAUAUUUGUAGGAAUGCCGAUGGGGAAGCCAGCUUACUGGACAGAUACUGACGCUAAAGCGCGAAAGCGUGGGUAGCAAACAGG
rnacentral:rRNA from 1 species